ensembl:misc_RNA 7SK 7SK RNA
GGAUGUGAGGGUGAUCUGGCUGUGACAUCUGUCACCUCAUUGAUUGCCAGUGUUGAUUGGACUAAUCUAACUGGUGCGGCAGGCGUCCCCUCCCUCCCUCACCCUCACCGCCCCACCUACAUCCCUCUCAAAGCCGCAUGCUGAGUCCAAGAGGAUGGCCUUCCCUGACCUAGGAGGACCGUGCUUCUGUUAAGGGUAUACGAGCAUCUGGGCUCCCCUGCCAGAACCUCCGAACAUGCUCUCAAGGUCCCACGUAAGGUAAGCAAACUUCCAAGACGCCGGACAUACUAAAAAAAAAUU